rnacentral:rRNA from 1 species
GACGAACGCUGGCGGCGUGCUUAACACAUGCAAGUCGAACGGAAAGGCCCUGCUUUUGUGGUGUGCUCGAGUGGCGAACGGGUGAGUAACACGUGAGUAACCUGCCCUUGACUUUGGGAUAACUUCAGGAAACUGGGGCUAAUACCGGAUAGGAGCUCCUGCUGCAUGGUGGGGGUUGGAAAGUUUCGGCGGUUGGGGCUGGACUCGCGGCUUAUCAGCUUGUUGGUGGGGUAGUGGCUUACCAAGGCUUUGACGGGUAGCCGGCCUGAGAGGGUGACCGGCCACAUUGGGACUGAGAUACGGACCAGACUCCAACGGGAGGCAGCAGUGGGGAAUAUUGCACAAUGGGCGGAAGCCUGAUGCAGCAACGCCGCGUGCGGGAUGACGGCCUUCGGGUUGUAAACCGCUUUCGCCUGUGACGAAGCGUGAGUGACGGUAAUGGGUAAAGAAGCACCGGCUAACUACGUG